CGCUAAAAGAAGGGAAAUGUACUCACCGGACGCAGCCUGGCGAUCCAAGCCCGGCACUGCGCUCACAGAAGGCUGAGGCAAAGAAACAGCAGUUCCAGCAUCCACAGAGGACAUCAGCUGUGAUCCAGGCGCCACCUGCUGGACGGAUCCACGAACUGCAGCAGCAUGCUGAGAAGGAAGCAGCCGAGAAGAUGAGCCCACGCCCCAGAGGAGAUGGCCGAGGUAAGUGAAUCUGGGGGGGGGAAGAGGCAAGGUAGAGGGGGGGUCAGGCAAGGUAGAGAGGAGGAGGGGGAGAACAGAGGGAUGCAGAUAGGGAGGGAUGUUUUUUUUUCUAUAUGGAGGGGAUAAGAGCAGGAGAGGGGGUGCAGGCCCACCAGAGAGAGAGGGAGGGGGGGGGGAGAAGCGAAAACCAGAAAGGGGGGGGGGACCAGGGGGCCCAGGUAAGGAAAGCUGGGCCCCCUGGAAGAAAUAAAGCCAGCCAAAUAGGGAGGAGGGGAGACAGAGCCCUGGGAUCCUUCCUCACUGGCAGAGGAGGCUCCCGACGGGCAAGGGGACCCCCCCAGCGGCCCGCGUGGGCCCACUCACCUCCCCGCCGGCCGCUGGGGAGCUGCACAGUUGCUGGGCAGCCACCUGCCGCCCGGAUCGCGGGAUCCGCCGCCCACCGCCCCCGGCCCGCAAUCCAGCACUGGUGGCCGGGGCGGAUGGUGUGGAGUGGGGGAGAGGAGUAGGCCGCGCGGCAGCCGCACCAGGAGGCCGCGCGGCAGUUGCAGGCUGCAUCCCCGGCCUGGAGGUAGAGGGCGACCCAGUAAGUAGCAGGCUGGGCGGCCAUAGAAGAAACAAUUUAUUGAAAAGAAUUAUUCCGACACUCUUCUUGAUAGUACCAUAAAUACAGUUAGAAACAAACCUAGAGAAAGUCUUUUAACAUACAAGAACAAAAAUAUUUUAGAAACCCCCACUCUUCCUAUAAUUUUUAAUUAUAAUAAUAAAAGUGGUUUUAUUAAAAAAAACAAUCAAAAAACACUGGCAUCUCCUAAGACAUGAUGAUCUGCUUAAAGAAAUCUUACCUAUACAGCCGAAAAUUGUUUUCAGAGGGGCACCUAAUUUUAGAUCCAUUUUAACUAACAACUAUACUAAAGAAAUUAAAAAUACUCAACACACUUUUUUAGAUGGGGCAAAAGGCUUUUACAAAUGUAAACGUUGCACUGUAUGCAAAAAUACUGAUCCAACAACUAAAUCUACUAUUACUAGUUUUAAAUCCAACCAAACUGAUAAAAGUUAUACCAUAAGAGACUUUAUCGGAUGUAACACCACUAACGUUAUCUACCUAUUGGAGUGCCCCUGUGGCCUCCAAUAUGUAGGUAUGACCACCAGGUGUUUAAAGAUAAGACUAGCAGAACACUGUAGGAAUAUUAGAAAUGGGUAUUUAAACCACUCUGUAUCUAAGCACUUUAUUAACCACAAUCAAGACCCCAAACUUCUCAAAUGUUUAGGUAUUCAGAAAUGCAAAAUACCUUGGAGAGGUGGUAAUAUAAAAAAUAUUCUUGGCAGGUCAGAGAUGGAAUGGGUAUUUAAUUUACAAACCCUAACACCUCAAGGUCUUAAUGUAGAUUUUGAUUUAUUUAAUUUUUUAGAAUAAUUUUUUUAUUUUUUUUAUUUUUUAUUUUGUACUGCUUGUUUUGAUUUUAUUCAUUUAUCCAAGUCAUGUCUAUUUAAAUUGUAAUUGUAUAUAUUUAUCAUAUGAUUAUUCAUUCCUUAUUACUUUUAUCCUUCUUAAGGGUGGAUCUUCUAAAAGUAGAUCCCAUAUGAUUGUAUUACUCAUUAUAUUUUUAUUUAUUAUUAUUAUUUUUUAUCCUUUUUAAGGUUUGAUCUUUUAACUGUAUAUCCUAUACUUUAUCAUUACUACUGUAUUUUUAUUAGUACAACAUCUUCUUUGCCCUUUACUAUUAUCCUUUUUGCCCUUUACUACAUGUCCCAUAAUCCCUGUGGCUCCGGUCACGUGACCCGCGGGUAUCUACGUUGUGUUACGCCGCGGGUCACGUGACACAGUCUGGUCCCGCCCUGCCGUCCGUGCGUGCCAUUCUCUUCCAUACUGGCCGCACGGACUGUUUGCAUAUCGGUAACCACAUGCGGUCACGUGACCCAGCGCACUACAGAUACCAUAGUGCAUUGCGGGUCACGUGACCCGCACGGAUAUUGCAAUUGAAUUGAUUUUAAUUUGUUCAAAUUCUACAGUAUAAACCCUCGUUUUUAAAUUAUAUUCACACCAACACCUUCUUAUGCCUUAAUACUUUAAUACUGUACAUCAUUGUUUAAUUUUGUUUAUGCACUUUUUAUUUAUAUUUUGUUCUGUUCUGAUUGGUGAUUGCUUUUUUGGCGCCAAUUUUUGAUUGUAUGUACAAGCUAUAUAUACUCCCUAUGUGCCAGGGACUAACACUAUUCCAAUUUGAUAAAGCCUGCUGGCGAAACGCGUUAUUGGUUUUAAUAUAUUGUACUAAUAAAUAAUUUUACAUAUAUUACCUUUUUAUACUAUUUUAUUUCUAUUUACUGUUCCUGGCAUAUCCUAAGGUGGGGAUUAUACCACCCACGCGAUUAACAGAGUGCAGAAAGACCUGCACUCUAUUUGUGAGUAUAUUUUAUUUAUUUUAUUCUUUUACGCUAACUACCUCACCGGAGAGCACUAUUGGCUGUUUUUAUUUAUUUUUAUGAGAAUUGGACACCAGCACCCCCCAGGAGGACAAGUACCCCUAAAAGCGGAGGGCAAUCCGCUGUGUGCCUAUCAUACUAGAGCUGGUCCUAGCUCAUGGACAUGUGAGUGUGCAAUUUAUAUUUUAAUCUCACUACUAUUUAUAUAUACACUCUGCACGAUUAGUCCUUUCCCAUUGUGUUUUUCAUAUCGUGAGAUGGACAACUGUUAACAAAGAAGACACCACAUCAGUUGAGAUACCACCUAUUACUGGGACUCCUUUACAGAACUUUAUUUAGUACCGAACUUUUUUUGUUUUAUUUUCUGUGGCGCAGCCUUUUCUCUGUUUUUGGGCGGCCAUAGGGGUAGCAGGCCGCGCGGCAGUGGCAGGCCUCGUGUCUGAAGGCCGUGCCACCUGUGCGGCCUCAGUAGGCCUCAGAUCCCAGCCCCCCCAGUAGUAGGCCGCGUGCCUGCAGCCCCAGACACGUGGCCCCCGCGGUGCCCCGGGCCCAGGCUCCUGCUCCUUACCGGGCCCGGGGAGUAUGAACCUGGGACAGCCUGGCAGGCGGGCGGGAAUGCCUGCCAGUGCUGAUGCGGCCCCCAGGGGCAGGGACCGCAUGGGAGGCAGCAGGGGAGACCGCAGUGGGUGCCCCAGGGUGAGGCAGGCCACGGGGGGUGCCCACACCGGCAGCCAUACCUCCAGUAAUGCUUGUAAAUUGCCUCUACAGGUGCCGGCCACCAUCCAGCGCAGCAGCAGCCCUGAG